rnacentral:lncRNA from 1 species
CACUAACUCCCUUGAACCUCUUUUUCUUUCUUCUCUCUUGAAUGAUCUUGUGUUGGGUUGGUCAGAAGUUGUUGGAAAGCACUUAAGAGCUCCCUUUUAUAGCCCAAAAAGCAAAUAUAGCCGUUAGAGAUAAAGUUAAGGGAGUUUGAAAUUCAAACCAAACCUGAAAAAGUUGUCAGUCGCGUCCCAAGCGCUUCGGAGACGUCUCCGCUUCAACGCGAGACGUCUCGGCUGUAAGAUUUUACUUUUGACGUUGUUUGGGGUCGACUCGGCGCUUUACGGGGACGACUCCGAUGAU